AGAGUUUGAUCCUGGCUCAGGACGAACGCUGGCGGUGCGCCUAACACAUGCAAGUCGAACGAGAGAUGAGGAGCUUGCUCUUCAAAUCGAGUGGCGAACGGGUGAGUAACGCGUGAGGAACCUGCCUCAAAGAGGGGGACAACAGUUGGAAACGACUGCUAAUACCGCAUAAGCCCACGGCUCGGCAUCGAGCAGGGGGAAAAGGAGCAAUCCGCUUUGAGAUGGCCUCGCGUCCGAUUAGCUAGUUGGUGAGGUAAUGGCCCACCAAGGCGACGAUCGGUAGCCGGACUGAGAGGUUGAACGGCCACAUUGGGACUGAGACACGGCCCAGACUCCUACGGGAGGCAGCAGUGGGGAAUAUUGCACAAUGGGGGAAACCCUGAUGCAGCGACGCCGCGUGGAGGAAGAAGGUCUUCGGAUUGUAAACUCCUGUUGUUGAGGAAGAUAAUGACGGUACUCAACAAGGAAGUGACGGCUAACUACGUGCCAGCAGCCGCGGUAAAACGUAGGUCACAAGCGUUGUCCGGAAUUACUGGGUGUAAAGGGAGCGCAGGCGGGAGAACAAGUUGGAAGUGAAAUCCAUGGGCUCAACCCAUGAACUGCUUUCAAAACUGUUUUUCUUGAGUAGUGCAGAGGUAGGCGGAAUUCCCGGUGUAGCGGUGGAAUGCGUAGAUAUCGGGAGGAACACCAGUGGCGAAGGCGGCCUACUGGGCACCAACUGACGCUGAGGCUCGAAAGUGUGGGUAGCAAACAGGAUUAGAUACCCUGGUAGU
rnacentral:rRNA from 1 species